rnacentral:rRNA from 1 species
AGAGUUUGAUCCUGGCUCAGGACGAACGCUGGCGGCGUGCUUAACACAUGCAAGUCGAACGGUAAGGCCCUUCGGGGUACACGAGUGGCGAACGGGUGAGUAACACGUGGGUAAUCUGCCCUGCACAUCGGGAUAAGCCUGGGAAACUGGGUCUAAUACCGAAUAGGACCACAGGACACAUGUCCUGUGGUGGAAAGCUUUUGCGGUGUGGGAUGGGCCCGCGGCCUAUCAGCUUGUUGGUGGGGUGAUGGCCUACCAAGGCGACGACGGGUAGCCGGCCUGAGAGGGUGUCCGGCCACACUGGGACUGAGAUACGGCCCAGACUCCUACGGGAGGCAGCAGUGGGGAAUAUUGCACAAUGGGCGAAAGCCUGAUGCAGCGACGCCGCGUGGGGGAUGACGGCCUUCGGGUUGUAAACCUCUUUCACCAUCGACGAAGGUCCGGGUUUUCUCGGGCUGACGGUAGGUGGAGAAGAAGCACCGGCCAACUACGUGCCAGCAGCCACGGUAAUACGUAGGGUGCGAGCGUUGUCCGGAAUUACUGGGCGUAAAGAGCUCGUAGGUGGUUUGUCGCGUUGUUCGUGAAAUCUCACGGCUUAACUGUGAGCGUGCGGGCGAUACGGGCAGACUUGAGUACUGCAGGGGAGACUGGAAUUCCUGGUGUAGCGGUGGAAUGCGCAGAUAUCAGGAGGAACACCGGUGGCGAAGGCGGGUCUCUGGGCAGUAACUGACGCUGAGGAGCGAAAGCGUGGGGAGCGAACAGGAUUAGAUACCCUGGUAGUCCAA